GAUGAACGCUGGCGGCGUGCCUAAUACAUGCAAGUCGAGCGAACAGACGAGGAGCUUGCUCCUCUGACGUUAGCGGCGGACGGGUGAGUAACACGUGGAUAACCUACCUAUAAGACUGGGAUAACUUCGGGAAACCGGAGCUAAUACCGGAUAAUAUAUUGAACCGCAUGGUUCAAUAGUGAAAGACGGUUUUGCUGUCACUUAUAGAUGGACCCGCGCCGCAUUAGCUAGUUGGUAAGGUAACGGCUUACCAAGGCAACGAUGCGUAGCCGACCUGAGAGGGUGAUCGGCCACACUGGACCUGAGACACGGUCCAGCCUCCUACGGGAGGCGGCAGGAGGGAAUCUUCAGCAAUGGGCGAAAGCCUGACGGGGCAACGCGGCGGGAGUGAUGAAGGUCUUCGGUUCGUAAAACUCUGUUAUUAGGGAAGAACAAAUGUGUAAGUAACCAUGCACGUCUGGACGGUACCAAAGCAGAAAGCCCCGGCGACCUACGG
rnacentral:rRNA from 1 species